rnacentral:rRNA from 1 species
CAGCAGCCACGGUAAUACAGAGGGUGCAAGCGUUAAUCGGAUUUACUGGGCGUAAAGGGCGCGUAGGUGGUUAUUUAAGUGAGAUGUGAAAGCCCCGGGCUUAACCUGGGAACUGCAUCUUAUACUGGGUAACUGGAGUGCAGUAGAGGGUAGUGGAAUUUCCGGUGUAGCGGUGAAAUGCGUAGAUAUCGGAAGGAACACCAGUGGCGAAGGCGGCUACCUGGACUGAGACUGACACUGAGGCGCGAGAGCGUGGGGAGCAAUCAGGAUUAGAUACCCCUGUAGUCCCUGUCUCUUAUAC